CACUGCUGCUUUGCUGACGAGUGGCGGACGGGUGAGUAAUGUCUGGGAAACUGCCUGAUGGAGGAGGGAUAACUACUGGAAACGGUAGCUAAUACCGCAUAACGUCGCAAGACCAAAGUGGGGGACCUUCGGGCCUCAUGCCAUCAGAUGUGCCCAGAUGGGAUUAGCUAGUAGGUGGGGUAACGGCUCACCUAGGCGACGAUCCCUAGCUGGUCUGAGAGGAUGACCAGCCACACUGGAACUGAGACACGGUCCAGACUCCUACGGGAGGCAGCAGUGGGGAAUAUUGCACAAUGGGCGCAAGCCUGAUGCAGCCAUGCCGCGUGUAUGAAGAAGGCCUUCGGGUUGUAAAGUACUUUCAGCGAGGAGGAAGGGGUUAAGGUUAAUAACCUUGGCCAUUGACGUUACUCGCAGAAGAAGCACCGGCUAACUCCGUGCCAGCAGCCGCGGUAAUACGGAGGGUGCAAGCGUUAAUCGGAAUUACUGGGCGUAAAGCGCACGCAGGCGGUCUGUCAAGUCGGAUGUGAAAUCCCCGGGCUCAACCUGGGAACUGCAUCCGAAACUGGCAGGCUUGAGUCUCGUAGAGGGGGGUAGAAUUCCAGGUGUAGCGGUGAAAUGCGUAGAGAUCUGGAGGAAUACCGGUGGCGAAGGCGGCCCCCUGGACGAAGACUGACGCUCAGGUGCGAAAGCGUGGGGAGCAAACAGGAUUAGAUACCCUGGUAGUCCACGCCGUAAACGAUGUCGACUUGGAGGUUGUGCCCUUGAGGCGUGGCUUCCCGGAGCUAACGCGUUAAGUCGACCGCCCUGGGGGAGUACGGCCCGCAAGGUUAAAACUCAAUGAAUUUGACCGGGGCCCGGCAACAAGCGGUGGAGCAUGUGGUUUAAUUCGAUGCACGGCGAAGAACCUUUACCUGGGUCUUGACAUCCAAAGAAUCCUGCAAGAUGCGGGGAGUGCCUUCCGGACUUCUUGAAAAACAGUUCUGCAUGACUGUCCGUCAAGCUCGUGCUGUGGAAAAUGUUUGGGCUCAGGUCCCGCACCGAGGCGCAACUUGAUCCGUGUGUCAUGCAGUCUGGUGUACUCAACGAGAGCUGCCUGAUG
rnacentral:rRNA from 1 species